GCCAACCUCCAGUGCAAGCUCUUGCCUCAAUGGCUCUUCUGUCCAAUUCUGCUUGCUCAGGGUAUGCUUGACACCUAUACUCUUAUCCAGGAGCAGUGGUCUUGACAUUUAUUCCAUCCCUCAAGUGCCUGUCCUCUUAACUGCCAAACCCGAACUGAAGUACUUCUCAUAAAAUUCCCUUGGAAACAAAAUACACAGUCCCUGUACACAAAGGGAAGGGGCUGCUGGAACCCAAGGGCAUCUUGGAGCCCACAAACACCUCCAUGGCCUCCUGCCCCUGUUGACUGCUAACACAUGCUGCUCCUGCUGGUCUGGCUGGUGCUCACAUCACUCUUGCUGGGCCGUAACACAGCUAUUGUCUCUGCAAACAGCAUUUACUGCCAGAUGGGGAGUGCUGCCCUGGAACUGAAAGCAGGUCACCUCAACAUAGAUUAAAUAUUAUUCAGCUGUUGGAUUAAGAAAAACAAGGUACAUUGAUCCUAUGGUGAGUUGUUUUUCCCUGGGAGCAGAGGUAGUCCAGGAUUCUCAAACUCAUUAUUGUCUCAUUAUGAAUGUAACUGCCUCCCAGGAAACUGAAACCCAAGGAGAGCCAGAUGGAUGCACAACAUCAGCUUUAGGAACUCACUGUAUAUAGCACAAGAGAUCUGCAGUAGAACUCAGAGAAGCAUUGCUGCACACACGCCAUUCACCACUGGAUUGCUACACUGUUUGGGAUGGUGAUGAUGUUUCCAGACCAGCUUUUUCAUUCAAUGCCUCAGAAAAAUACACAGAUUACAUCUCUUCCAGAGCAAUAUAAGUAUUAGAAAAUGAGAGAAGCACCAUAAUUCACAAGAAAUGCAGCAUGGACCCUAUACAUUUUAACAAUACAUAAAACCGUAUCUCUGCCCCCAGUCAAAACAUUCAAAGUCUUUUGACAAUCUUUACUGGAGUGAAGUUGUGGGUGCAGAGAUGGAAUUCCUUCCUGCUGGGCAGCUUCUUGGUAUGAACACAUCACCAAUAAUAGCAGCUUUUAGUAGCCAAACCAGGGAAAAGCCAUCAACAUGUGUCUAUGCUACUGUUUUCAGCUCCAGAGCGGCUUUAUACUUUUAAGAGUCCCAUGUGUUGUUUUUGUUAACACUGCAUUGACCUGAAAUACAAAUGCAGUGCGACUCUGGAUGGCAGGGGAGAGGAGGGAAGAACAUUGUAACUAUAGUCAUGUGGUUAGUGUUUAAAUUCUAAAAUUUAAAACUACUUAUUAUUAAAAACUUCAAGAGUUCACAGCUAUAGGCCUACAUAGUAAGCAAACAUCUGUGGGGGAGAAAAGG
rnacentral:lncRNA from 1 species